UACGUAGGGGGCUAGCGUUGCUCGGAAUCACUGGGCGUAAAGCGCACGUAGGCGGACUCUUAAGUCAGGGGUGAAAUCCUGGAGCUCAACUCCAGAACUGCCUUUGAUACUGGGAGUCUCGAGUUCGGGAGAGGUGAGUGGAACUGCGAGUGUAGAGGUGAAAUUCGUAGAUAUUCGCAAGAACACCAGUGGCGAAGGCGGCUCACUGGCCCGAUACUGACGCUGAGGUGCGAAAGCGUGGGGAGCAAACAGG
rnacentral:rRNA from 1 species